GGAAGAGGCAGGAGUGGCCCAAGUGUUCUCGCGCCGUGGUAGUUUUUCAAAGUUCUAGCUAGUUAGUCGUGUGUGCAAAGGUUACGAACGGUGUGUUAUCGUGUGUGCUGGUAGCUCAAAGCAGAUUCGUGACCACGCCGACACGACGCCCGACAACCCACACCGAACCAUCGAGGCCAUUCUUGACCCCACCAUCAGCUUGCGAGGUUUUCCCGGGGCACGCCGGAAGAGGGACGCGAUCGCCAAUCAACGCGCGCCCUAGGCAGGGCAUCACCGAAGAAGAAGAAGAAGAAGUAAGGCAACCGUUUUUCCCUCCGUUGGUGACGACCGACGGACAUCGACGCACGUGCCGCGUCGCGCCAUCGUAUGAGA